CCUCAUUCCAGGAAAAUCAGUACCAGCAUCCAGUUGUCUUCGAGAAGGAAAGAAGACGACAUGGAGAGACACGACAGUUGGAGAACAAGAGCGAGAAGCACGGAGGCACGGGUCACUCUUUCAGACUUCCCAGUGGGAACUUGGCACCUUGGAUAAACAAAGGCACUGGCGGGAAGGAGAGCUAGAAAUCAGCGGAGGGGGCUGGCGGGCCACAGCCAAGGCAGGGACAGUGAGAAGAGAAAGCCUGGGCCCUGGGGUCCGUGGUUCUCUUCUCCAACCACCUUUGAGUCCCUCUCUCUGAAACAAGGCUCGUGAGGACGCCCUCUGGCCUGGGAGGCAUGGGUGAGCCUGAAGCACCCUGAGAGCAGUGAACACAGGUUUUGCACUUGCAACUGGGAGGAAGUCAGCAGCACUGGGAGCAAUGGGGCUUGAGGGUGGGAGAGACCUUCUUGCCAAACCCCUUCCCAGGCUCUCUGACUCUCUAGGAACGGAGAGAGAGAAUGCCUUGGCCAGUUUCCUGCAAUUCAGUCAGUGGAGCCAGGGCCCCGGCGGCGAGGGCUCCCUCUGAGAAAACAAAUACAUGAGAGACAAGGACAAGAAGGAGGAAACGCCAGCUAGGAAACUCCAAAGGGAUCAGCGGCUAAGCUCACGGGGACACUGCUUGGGAGCAGGAAGUAGUCUUGGAUGUGGAGGUGCUGGCAUCUGUUGCCUUGCUCUGCAACUCUGGAGCUAUCGAGGUGAUCUAGAGUUGCAUUUAACAUUAUGUUCUCCAAUCAUGUGCAACUGUGUGCAGCUCUGCAAAUCUGCCUUGCCUGCCCUUCAACACCUCUGUGGCUGAGUCCUGCCUCACCUCGCAACCUGGUAUGCCUCUCAUUCUUCGGGAUCCAACUCAAGGGUCUCCUACAUCUUGAAGCCUUCUUUGACUACUCUUAGAGUCUGAAUGUCUGUGUCCCCCCACAUUCAUAUGUUGAAAUCCUAGCCCCCAGUGUGAUGGUAUUAGGAGGCGGGGCCUUUGGGAGGUGAUCAGGUCAUGACAGUGGAGCCCUCAUGAAUGAGAUUAGUGCCCGUUUAAGGAGAGACAGGAGAGAGCUUUCUUUCUCUUCACCUCGUGAGGAAACCAGGAAGAAGGCUCUCACCAGACCUGGAAUCUGCAGGCACCUUGACUUCUCAGCCUCCAGAACUGUGAAAAAAUAAAUUUCUGUUCUUUAAACUACCCA
rnacentral:lncRNA from 1 species